rnacentral:rRNA from 1 species
AGAGUUUGAUCCUGGCUCAGGAUGAACGCUAGCUACAGGCUUAACACAUGCAAGGUCGAGGGGAAACGACAUCGUAAAGCUUUGCUUUUGAUGGGCGUCGACCGGCGUACGGGUGAGUAACGCGUAUCCAACCUGCCCACCACUUGGGGAUAACCUUGCGAAAGUAAGACUAAUACCCAAUGACGUCUCUAGAAGACAUCUGAAAGAGAUUAAAGAUUUAUCGGUGAUGGAUGGGGAUGCGUCUGAUUAGCUUGUUGGCGGGGUAACGGCCCACCAAGGCGACGAUCAGUAGGGGUUCUGAGAGGAAGGCCCCCCACAUUGGAACUGAGACACGGUCCAAACUCCUACGGGAGGCAGCA